rnacentral:tRNA from 1 species
GCCUGAGUGGCUCAGUCGGUUGAGCGUUUGACUUCAACUCAGGUCAUGAUCUCGCGGUUCGUGAGUUCGAGCCCCAUGUCAGGCU